UUAAUAGUUAUCAAACAUGUGGCAAUGCUGGAAUUUAGCUGAGCAUUGUGCUUCUAGAAAAUAAAAAAUGUUAAGGAAUCUGUUCACCACUUUGCAUGUCCAAGAGCCUCCCACUUUUUACAUAUGCUGAGAACUAACCAUCUCCACUAUUAGGAUAGAACAUGCUGAAGAAAAAAGUUACAAUGAGAAAAUAUCUGGGAACGAAAUACCUAUGUAGUGCAAAGUCUGCACAUCUAAACCACUCAGAGUAGAGGAAAGAAGUAUCCCUAUUGCGCAGGCUGGAGUACAAUUACCUGAUCUUGGCUAACUGUAACCUCUGUCUUCCAGGUUCAAGCUAUUCUCCUGCCUCAGCCUCCCAAGUACCUGGGAUUACAGGCACCUGCCACCACAUCUAACUAAUUUUUGUAUUUUUAGUAGAGAGGGGGUUUCGCCAUGUUGGCCAGGCUGGUCUUGAACUCCUGACCUCCAGUGAUCUGCCCACCUCAGCCUCUCAAAAUGCUGAGAUUACAGGCAUGAGCCACUGCACACAGCCUCAAGUUUAAUUCUUAAGUGAGUCAGUCAGUUAUAGCUCUACUCAAAUCUUUGAGUGCACCUAAAAUUUCAUUUAAUGUCUAUUAUCUUUCAUUGUAUGCUAAAACAGCUUGAAGAUCUAUAUGAUUUUAUAAAUAAUAAUCUAUAAAACAAAACAAGAAAAUUAAGGGUUUACACUUUAAAGCACCCAUAUUCACCUACAAUUGAUGAAUUUACUUUUAGAGUGAAAAACAAUAGAAUUUCGGUGAUUCUGAAAUGGUUCCACCCUAUCCAAACAAGUUGUGUUAAUGCAUGUGUACAUUUCUUCAUAGUUAAAUUACUAAAAUUGCUACAAAUAUCAAUGCUUUCAAAUUUCCACUGAGAGUAGCCUCUGUCAAAACUUUGCUGUUUAUUGAUUAAUUUUGUUACUAUAAAACAGAAAGGUAUCUUCUAAUUGAAAGAUAUCAAACACAAAUUUUGAAUUAUAAAAGCAGCCUCAAGCAAAUAAUAAUUUUUACUCAGCACUAAAAUUUACAUAUUCACAGAAAGUAAGCAAGCCCUGGGCAUGGAUAAAGCAUUCUUUUCCUAGAGGAUCCCAAAACUGACAGAUGUAGAAACUAAAAAUAUCAUUUUCCCCUCAUAUUAGCAUGUAUUUCAAUUUUGUCUUAAGAACUUUUGACAAUAUUUGCCGGAACACCAUUCACAAAAGGAAACUAUUAUGGCUUUGGAGAUUUUUUCUUUUAUAUACUGUUGAUUGCAUUGAGAAAAAAUUAUAUUUAAGGUUCUCCCUAUUUUCAAGCCAGCCAGCCAUCCUAACUUUAUGUAAUAUUUUAUUUUAAAUUAUAACAAAUCUAGACAAUGAUAUUAUCUCCUGCUCCAAACAACAUCCUUUCCUAGUUUGUACCAUUAACAUGUUUCUUGAUGGUAUUUAUAUUAGGUAUUAUUAGGAGGUCAUUAUAAUUUUACAAGAAUGUCUAAUUGAAACAAUUUAUUCCCUCUUUUAUGUUAAUCCUUUCCUACCUAGCAUCACAUAAGAUAAUGGAGGUGUGAUUUUUUUCAGUAAUUUUUGCUAGUUUAAUAAAUGACAUAAACAACUUUCUCAUCCACAUCCAUUUUGAAAUUAUGCUUAGUAUUUUAAUACAAAAGAAUAAGAUAGCAUAAUACU